CUCUUUAAAUCUUGGUUUGUCCUGGCUGCAGUUGAAUAGUAUUUAUUAUUACGAUGAUUAGAAUAUUGCAGUAAAAUGAAUAUUUAAUUUUUAUUCUCCAAUGUAGGACACAUAAUAUUAACUUUCUUCACUGAAUGUUUGGGACGUUCCUGGAGACAAGCUUACCCGCAAAACUAUUGUUUGCCAACAUACAAGUGAAUCAAACGGAGCCAAGUUUGCGGACAGAUAUUUAUUCUGAACGUAUAAUCAGCAGCAACAUUGAAUGGCCAAGAAAUCCACAAAUAAUGACUCGUUGCACUACAAGUCAAAGCUUGAGGACCGAUGACAAGCGGCGAUCGAAUAGCGAAGAUCGCAACUGUAGAGACCGACGAAAACGACGAGAUUCUUCCCAUCAUCGACAUAGAAGAUCAAGAUCCAGAUCAGAUUCCCGUUCCAGAAGUCGGAUCUACAGACACUCAAAGGCCUAUAGAGCACGUUCAAUUUCUCCCAGGCGCUCGGCUGACAUGUCCAGGAAAAGACAUCGGCAUUAACAGAAUGAUCAGAAUGAAGUAAAUCAUUUACAAACAUUAUUGUAAGUUUGAAGUUUCUGUGAACAAAACUUAUCCGUUUAUUCUACUUGUUUUAUCCAUCCAAUGUUUUAUGCAAUUGGUAUUUAAUCGCAAGUUUCACAUUUAUGCUGAUGCGCCUCAAAUUGUAAACAGUAAUAAUUUAAAGAGAUUAAAGUUAGACCCUCAGAACAAUAUAUGUAUAAACAAAUAUUAUCAAGUGAAAAUAUGUAAAUCCAGUGAUUGUUGAAAGAAAACUUCAGUUGUUUCUCAACAUUUCCAUUAGAACGAAAGUUUCGUUACUCACAAAUUCUAAGUGAAUAAUUUAAAAAUAAGCACUUCAUUAUGCCAUUCAAUGUAAUUUAUUUUAUCUUUUAUUCAUAUCUAUUUAAAAAACGAAUCGUUGCACAGUAAUAAUAUCUACCAAAUAAAAUUGACUGAAAUGAAA
rnacentral:misc_RNA from 1 species